AAAACCAACAGAACAGGGAUAGAGAAGUGAGCGAGAGGAGGUUCAGUUUGCUCAGUCCCUCUUUAACCACUACUUAGAGUACAUGGUCUAAUGCUUAGGGCCAAGGAGGGAGGUGAAGGCUAAGGAAGUCAGAUUUGAGAUGCAUAACCAGCAGCAAAAGAGCCUCUAGAAACGCCAUGGACUUUAGGAAGGGCCAAGUGACACCUUCCAUGAUGUUUGGUUCUGGUCCAGAUGGAUCUGGAAGACAAAGAUUUGGGGAGAGUGACCACAUGGCUGGUAGCAAUAACAAGGCCUCUGGCUCUGAAUUGCUUCCUAUGGUCCUGGUAGAAACUGCAUAGUUCAGAGCCAAGGGGAGAUGAGAAGCCUUAACGUGGAAGAGGGACAAGAGAGAUGAAUUGCUCCCUCUGCAACCCAACUCUUCAAAGUAAGAAUGGUUGAGAGCAAUAGUCACCAAUUUCCCAGGCCAGAACCUGGGGUCCUUUGCUGGGACCAGUUCUGCACUUUCCCUCUCCUCUUCCUCCCUCCUUUCAAUCUUAUACUCAAGUAAACCCACUCAGCAUCUUGGCUAUGACGCUUCAAGAUCCUGGAGCACUGCAUGUAAAGAGAAGAGAGAAGAAAUGGGUUGAAGAAACUCUGGAGGACCUGGAAGACCUAGUGGCUAAGCUAGGAACCUGGUGAAAGAGAAAGAAGAUAGUCCAGACGGUGAUGGGCACUUGUGAACAGAAGACUCUAGCUCAGAAAAGCAGACAGAUGUGUGAGGGGGAGAGAUGGGGUAGAACAAAGGAACUCGAGAGUCCCCUACAUGACAGCCUCCAGGAGGGCUGAGUCUGAAGUAGUUACAGAAGAGAGACAGGGGCGGUAAUGUUGAUAGGGGAAUGAAGAGAGAGAAGCAGGAGCAGAAAAAUGACCAAAGAUGACAAUAUGCUUUGGCCGGUAAACUCUUAUAAAACAUAAAGGAAUCGAUUAAUCCCUAACUUGAUGGAACAAGCUUUGAAAUACUUUGUUCCUGUCUGCCCUGAUGGUUAAACUAAAGAAGGAGGGAGGGGAGGAGACAGAAUCAGCCAGUCAGAUUCUGGGCCCUUCCCUUUUCACUACCAAGCAAUCUUUAAUAAUAAGGCCACAAAAUGAGGUUGCCAAGGCUUAGUGGGGUGGUGGGAAAGACCCCACCACUACACUAAAGUCAAGGGACAAAAUGAGGUACCCAAAUAGCUCUGCAAAUAGAUGAAAAAGAAUUAGAACUCUUGAGGGUUUCUUUCUUUUUGGUGGCAGGUAGAGAGAAGGAAUAAAGCUUAUGGAAAAACUGGAAAAUACUGCUACUUCAUACAUCAAAGGUAACCUUACAUUCUCCGUAAGUGAAUGUUUUAACUAGAAUUAAGGAAGAGGAAAAAGGAAACGGGUAAAUAAGCAGCUAUGGGAGACCUGAGUCCUGAGUCCAUGGGGUGGCUGGGGCUGGGUCAGCGGGUAAUAUGUCAUCAAAUCUAGCCUCCCUCUAUCUGGCAGGAAGUGGCAUGCUGGUAAGGAACAAAAAGGUAACAGCCACGGCUUAGUGGGAAGAGAGGGAACUGAGAAACCCCAAACCUAGAAGUGCCAAGGGUUAGUGUUAAAAGAGACAGAUACACGUGCAUGGGGCAGGGGUGAUUGUUCGGACCAUCUGGAAAGGCCUUUGGCUGUGGAUGCAUCAGAAACCCCACCCUGGGGGAUGAUCUAUGAGGCUCCGGGGCUGGGAGGCCCCCAGCACAGGUGUCAAACGUACAUGACCACAUGGCUAAAAAGCCCCAUAUCUGUCCAUUACUCACAACACACAAUUCCCCCCACCCAUAUUGCCAUGUCCAAGGCAGAUGGGAGGGGAUAAGAUGACAUCUCUCUUGGCUCUUGGGCGGGCGAGCUCUGGCUGAGGACCUCUCCACCAGAGGAGGCAUCAUCUGCCCGCAGACUGGGACUGUGGGGUCAUGAUUACAUGCGAUUGUAUCGGCAUGCUCAGUUCUGUCCUUUGGCUGGCCAUCUGAGUGAGGACCGAGGUGGCCACAGCUUCAGCUGCAGAGCGAACACUGAGGCCAUUGCUAGGGGCUGUUGCUGAGCUGUGCUGAAUCACAGGGGCUGGAGAACCCGUUGGCUCUGAGCUUUCCUUGGGGCUUUCUGCCAGGAAGGAGGGCAAAGAGCAGAGAGCAAUUGGUUAGAAAACAGAAUGGGGAAAGAGGCAGGACUACCUUUUGCCAUAAUUCUAAAGGAGCCCAAAAGGGAAAUGAAACCCAUCUUUUUUUUGGGGAAAACUUCCCAGAAUCCUGGCUUCUAAGUCAUAAAUGGGCUAGGAAAUGGGAAGUUGUAAGAAGGGAAGAACUAGGCCAAAAUUAACCUAUCUAUUCCAAUAAAAUGAAUCUCCAACAUGUUAA
ensembl:lncRNA novel transcript, antisense to ATF7